rnacentral:rRNA from 1 species
UACGGGGGGGCAAGCGUUGUUCGGAAUUACUGGGCGUAAAGGGUUCGUAGGUGGCCAACUAAGUCAGACGUGAAAUCCCUCAGCUUAACUGGGGAACUGCGUCUGAUACUGGUCGGCUUGAGUGCAGGAGAGGAACGCGGAAUUCCAGGUGUAGCGGUGAAAUGCGUAGAUAUUGGGAAGAACACCGGUGGCGAAGGCGGCGAGCUGGUCCAUUACUGACGCUGAGGCGCGACAGCGUGGGGAGCAAACAGG